GCAUCUCGCUUACACCGAGAAAAUGUCCGUGAAAACCAGACUACUUCGA
rnacentral:tRNA from 1 species